UUACGGCCAUAUCACGCUGAAACACCGGUUCUCGUACGAUCACUGAAGUUAAGCAAUGUCGAGCAUGGUCAGUACCUAGACGAGCGACUGCUUGGAAAUAUCAGGUGUUGUA